ACCGGAAAUGACGAUCCCGCUGCUUCUAGUUUUUUCCAUAAUAUUGUUGGGAAAAUUUUCCGAUGGCAAAAGCAUUACUGGAAAUAAUAUUCGGACAAAAAGCGCAAAAAUGUGCGUAGACUGAAGAUGUUACACAGGGACACCAGACAGUGUCAUGGCUUCAAUGGCCACAGGCUGGGUGCACACCUCACUGGGAUACAGCAUCUGCAGCUGGAGGAGGGUCUCGUAGUCCCCUUUCCCUUUGGGAUUGUCCACGUCGAACCAGCGUGUCCUGCAACCUGCCAAACAGUGAAAAACAAAUGGUCUCCUGACACUGAUCCUCUGAUUCAGACUUAUUUUAACUGGCUUUUAUAGGUUGUGGUAUUUGUUUUUCAUCACUUUAUACAUCCACAGACAUGUUGAAGCCAAAUGAAUCCUACCUGCAUGAAAACUUACCCUGACAGAAGUCUGAGGGACAAGUCAGUAUCACUUGAUAAUCCUCACACUGUUUACUCUUCUGUUUUUUAUUGAUGCAUGCAAACCCAAAAGUGACAUCAUAGCUGAAAUAAAAAAAAAAAAAAAAAAAGCUGAAGAAGCAUGUCUUAUGACUGAACAAAUGUCACAUCUGAACCUGUGUGUUUGAUGUUGAAACAAUGUUCUCACGAAAGGUACGUGUCUCCGGUAUGAGCGGCGGAUAUUCCUCUGGUUGUCUUGGCCUCAAUGCUGACUGGGUUUUUACAGGCUUGACCGGGGAAGGAUUUCAUCAGCUGAAGAAUGGACUCGACAUCCCCCUCCUCUGACGGGGUGUCACUGUUCAUCCAUCGUGUUCGACACUGCUCUGACACUGAGCGCAGGUUACAAAUGGAUGCAAGUUUGUACGACAUUCAAGCUCAGCAGGAACAAGAAUGAGAAUCCCUAAUGUGUUUGUGUGUGUGUGUGUGUGUGUGUGUGUGUGUGUGUGUGUGUCUGUGUGGACUAAUGCAAAAUCUAUAACGUAUAUAGGGCAUCUAGCCAAAGGUAAUUUGCAGCCCGAGUCACUAGUUGGACUGAUUUUGUGUGUGGACAUAGGUGACAAUCUACAUUAUAUUUGUGAAUAUCUUACAGUAUGCAAAAGUAAUGUAUGUACAUAUAUUGAAUUUACAUAUACAGUAUAUUCCAAACUAAAAACACAUAUGUAAAACCUAGAAAUUGGAACUAUUCAAUAUAUUGACAUGCACUUUUAGCCCAUACAAAUAUGUAUGUUUAUGUAAGUAUGGUUAUAUUUCUAACAUAUUAUAUAAAUAAACAUCUGUCAGUAUAUGUUGAUAUUAUAUAAAGUUGGCUCCAAAGGUCUGAGGCCUCUUUCCCAAAAUGUGAAGAUAGACAUGUUUAAAAUGAAUGAGAAAUGAAUAAGAAAAACAUAUACAGUAUAAGCAUAUAGAAUUUUUAUAUGUAUGUAGUUUGAUAUAUAAAUUAAAUGUAUUGUUGUAUGUUACAUGUUAUGACAUAUUAAAAUUCAUCAUAUAGAUAUUUUAAUAUAUGUACAUAUACACAUUUUACUAUGAGUGUUUCAUAUAUGUUAUAAACUUAUAUCGUCAUACAGCCAGAUGAUGUAAAUAUGUAAUAAUAAUAGGUGGCAUA